AGUGCAUGUGGUGGAUGCCUUGGCAGUCAGAGGCGAUGAAAGACGUGAUAGCCUGCGAAAAGCUCCGGGGAGGCGGCAAAUAUCCUUUGAUCCGGAGAUGUCUGAAUGGGGGAACCCACCUACUUUAAGGUAGGUAUUGCAACAUGAAUACAUAGUGUUGCAAGGCGAACGAGGGGAAGUGAAACAUCUCAGUACCCUUAGGAAAAGAAAUCAAUUGAGAUUCCCUCAGUAGCGGCGAGCGAACGGGGAUCAGCCCAUUAAGUUAUGUGUGUUUUAGUGGAACGCUCUGGGAAGUGCGAACGUAGAGGGUGAUAUUCCCGUACACGAAAGGGCACACAUAAUGAUGACGAGUAGGGCGAGGCACGUGAAACCUUGUCUGAAUAUGGGGGGACCAUCCUCCAAGGCUAAAUACUCCUGACUGACCGAUAGUGAACCAGUACCGUGAGGGAAAGGCGAAAAGAACCCCUGUGAGGGGAGUGAAAUAGAUCCUGAAACCGCAUGCAUACAAGCAGUGGGAGCACCUUCGUGGUGUGACUGCGUACCUUUUGUAUAAUGGGUCAGCGACUUAUAUUCAGUAGCAAGGUUAACCGUAUAGGGGAGCCGUAGAGAAAUCGAGUCUUAAUAGGGCGUUUAGUUGCUGGGUAUAGACCCGAAACCAGGCGAUCUAUCCAUGAGCAGGUUGAAGGUUGGGUAACACUAACUGGAGGACCGAACCCACUGUCGUUGAAAAGCCAGGGGAUGACUUGUGGAUAGGGGUGAAAGGCUAAUCAAGCCUGGUGAUAGCUGGUUCUCCCCGAAAGCUAUUUAGGUAGCGCCUCGGACGAAUACCAUAGGGGGUAGAGCACUGUUUCGGCUAGGGGGUCAUCCCGACUUACCAAACCGAUGCAAACUCCGAAUACCUAUGAGUACUAUCCGGGAGACAGACUGCGGGUGCUAACGUCCGUAGUCAAGAGGAAAACAAUCCAGACCGCCAGCUAAGGCCCCAAAAUCAUAGUUAAGUGGGAAACGAUGUGGGAAGGCAUAGACAGCUAGGAGGUUGGCUUAGAAGCAGCCACCCUUUAAAGAAAGCGUAAUAGCUCACUAGUCGAGUCGGCCUGCGCGGAAGAUGUAACGGGGCUAAAACUAUGUGCCGAAGCUGCGGAUGUAUACUUUGUAUACGUGGUAGGGGAGCGUUCUGUAAGCCGAUGAAGGUGUGUUGAGAAGCANAUGCUGGAGGUAUCAGAAGUGCGAAUGCUGACGUGAGUAACGACAAAACGGGUGAAAAACCCGUUCGCCGAAAGACCAAGGGUUCCAGUCCAACGUUAAUCGGGGCUGGGUGAGUCGACCCCUAAGGCGAGGCCGAAAGGCGUAGUCGAUGGGAAAAUGGUUAAUAUUCCAUUACUUCUGUGUAAUGCGAUGAGAGGACGGAGAAGGCUAAAUCAGCCUGGCGUUGGUUGUCCAGGUGAAAGGAUGUAGGCAUGUAUCUUAGGCAAAUCCGGGGUACUCUAUGCUGAGAUCUGAUAGCAAGCUGUACUUGUACAGCGAAGUGGUUGAUGCCAUGCUUCCAGGAAAAGUCUCUAAGCUUCAGUUACACAGGAAUCGUACCCGAAACCGACACAGGUGGUCAGGUCGAGUAGACCAAGGCGCUUGAGAGAACUCUGCUGAAGGAACUAGGCAAAAUGGUACCGUAACUUCGGGAGAAGGUACGCUGUUGUUGGUGAUGGAACUCGCUUCCUGAGCUGACGACAGCCGCAGAAACCAGGCCGCUGCAACUGUUUAUUAAAAACAUAGCACUCUGCAAACACGAAAGUGGACGUAUAGGGUGUGAUGCCUGCCCGGUGCUGGAAGGUUAAUUGAUGGGGUUAGCGUAAGCGAAGCUCUUGAUCGAAGCCCCAGUAAACGGCGGCCGUAACUAUAACGGUCCUAAGGUAGCGAAAUUCCUUGUCGGGUAAGUUCCGACCUGCACGAAUGGCAUAAUGAUGGCGGCGCUGUCUCCAGCAGAGGCUCAGUGAAAUCGAAAUCGCUGUGAAGAUGCAGUGUACCCGCGGCUAGACGGAAAGACCCCGUGAACCUUUACUGCAGCUUGACACUGAACUUUGACCUUACUUGUGUAGGAUAGGUGGGAGGCUUUGAAGCUGGAACGCUAGUUCCAGUGGAGCCGUCCUUGAAAUACCACCCUGGUAAUGUUGAGGUUCUAACUCUGUCCCGUGAUCCGGGACGAGGACCGUGUCUGGUGGGUAGUUUGACUGGGGCGGUCUCCUCCUAAAGAGUAACGGAGGAGUACGAAGGUGCGCUCAGCGUGGUCGGAAAUCACGCGUAGAGUAUAAAGGCAAAAGCGCGCUUAACUGCGAGACCCACAAGUCGAGCAGGUACGAAAGUAGGUCUUAGUGAUCCGGUGGUUCUGUAUGGAAGGGCCAUCGCUCAACGGAUAAAAGGUACUCUGGGGAUAACAGGCUGAUACCGCCCAAGAGUUCAUAUCGACGGCGGUGUUUGGCACCUCGAUGUCGGCUCAUCUCAUCCUGGGGCUGAAGCAGGUCCCAAGGGUAUGGCUGUUCGCCAUUUAAAGAGGUACGCGAGCUGGGUUUAGAACGUCGUGAGACAGUUCGGUCCCUAUCUACCGUGGGCGCUGGAAAUUUGAGAGGAUCUGCUCCUAGUACGAGAGGACCAGAGUGGACGAACCUCUGGUGUACCGGUUGUGACGCCAGUCGCAUCGCCGGGUAGCUAUGUUCGGAAGGGAUAACCGCUGAAAGCAUCUAAGCGGGAAGCCUACCUCAAGAUAAGAUUUCCCUAGGACUUUAUGUCCUCUAAAGAGCCGUUCGAGACUAGGACGUUGAUAGGUUGGAUGUGGAAGCAUAGUGAUAUGUGAAGCUGACCAAUACUAAUUGCUCGUGAGGCUUGACU
rnacentral:rRNA from 1 species